rnacentral:rRNA from 1 species
AGGACGAACGCUGGCGGCGUGCUUAACACAUGCAAGUCGAGCGGAAAGGCCCUUCGGGGUACUCGAGCGGCGAACGGGUGAGUAACACGUGAGCAACCUGCCCCUGGCUCUGGGAUAGCCUCCGGAAACGGGGAUUAAUACCGGAUAUUCACUGUCUCCUGCAUGGGGGGUGGUGGAAAGUUUUUCGGCUAGGGUGGGGCUCGCGGCCUAUCAGCUUGUUGGGGGGGUGACGGCCCACCAAGGCGACGACGGGUAGCCGGCCUGAGAGGGCGACCGGCCACACUGGGACUGAGACACGGCCCAGACUCCUACGGGAGGCAGCAGUGGGGAAUAUUGCGCAAUGGGCGGAAGCCUGACGCAGCGACGCCGCGUGCGGGAUGAAGGCCUUCGGGUUGUAAACCGCUUUCACCAGGGACGAAGCGGAAGUGACGGUACCGUGGGGAAGAAGGCGCCGGCUAACGUACGUGCCAGCAGCCGC